UAACUCCGGGAAACCGGGGCUAAUACCGGAUGGUUGUUUGAACCGCAUGGUUCAGACAUAAAAGGUGGCUUCGGCUACCACUUACAGAUGGACCCGCGGCGCAUUAGCUAGUUGGUGAGGUAACGGCUCACCAAGGCGACGAUGCGUAGCCGACCUGAGAGGGUGAUCGGCCACACUGGGACUGAGACACGGCCCAGACUCCUACGGGAGGCAGCAGUAGGGAAUCUUCCGCAAUGGACGAAAGUCUGACGGAGCAACGCCGCGUGAGUGAUGAAGGUUUUCGGAUCGUAAAGCUCUGUUGUUAGGGAAGAACAAGUGCCGUUCAAAUAGGGCGGCACCUUGACGGUACCUAACCAGAAAGCCACGGCUAACUACGUGCCAGCAGCCGCGGUAAUACGUAGGUGGCAAGCGUUGUCCGGAAUUAUUGGGCGUAAAGGGCUCGCAGGCGGUUUCUUAAGUCUGAUGUGAAAGCCCCCGGCUCAACCGGGGAGGGUCAUUGGAAACUGGGGAACUUGAGUGCAGAAGAGGAGAGUGGAAUUCCACGUGUAGCGGUGAAAUGCGUAGAGAUGUGGAGGAACACCAGUGGCGAAGGCGACUCUCUGGUCUGUAACUGACGCUGAGGAGCGAAAGCGUGGGGGAGCGAACAGGAUUAGAUACCCUGGUAGUCCACGCCGUAAACGAUGAGUGCUAAGUGUUAGGGGGGUUUCCGCCCCUUAGUGCUGCAGCUAACGCAUUAAGCACUCCGCCUGGGGAGUACGGUCGCAAGACUGAAACUCAAAGGAAUUGACGGGGGCCCGCACAAGCGGUGGAGCAUGUGGUUUAAUUCGAAGCAACGCGAAGAACCUUACCAGGUCUUGACAUCCUCUGACAAUCCUAGAGAUAGGACGUCCCCUUCGGGGGCAGAGUGACAGGUGGUGCAUGGUUGUCGUCAGCUCGUGUCGUGAGAUGUUGGGUUAAGUCCCGCAACGAGCGCAACCCUUGAUCUUAGUUGCCAGCAUUCAGUUGGGCACUCUAAGGUGACUGCCGGUGACAAACCGGAGGAAGGUGGGGAUGACGUCAAAUCAUCAUGCCCCUUAUGACCUGGGCUACACACGUGCUACAAUGGACAGAACAAAGGGCAGCGAAACCGCGAGGUUAAGCCAAUCCCACAAAUCUGUUCUCAGUU
rnacentral:rRNA from 1 species